UAGCUCAGUUGGUAGAGCAUAAGACUCUUAAUCUCAGGGUCUUGGGUUCAUGCCCCAU
rnacentral:tRNA from 1 species